UAGGGAAUCUUCGGCAAUGGACGAAAGUCUGACCGAGCAACGCCGCGUGAGUGAAGAAGGUUUUCGGAUCGUAAAACUCUGUUGUUAGAGAAGAACAAGGACGUUAGUAACUGAACGUCCCCUGACGGUAUCUAACCAGAAAGCCACGGCUAACUACGUGCCAGCAGCCGCGGUAAUACGUAGGUGGCAAGGGUUGUCCGGAUUUAUUGGGAGUAAAGCGAGCGCAGGUGGUUUCUUAAGUCAGAUGUGAAAGCCCCCGGCUCAACCGGGGAGGGUCAUUAGAAACUGGCAGACUUGAGUGCAGAAGAGGAGAGUGGAAUUCCAUGUGUGGCGGUGAAAUGCGUAGAUAUAUGGAGGAACACCAGUGACGAAGGCGGCUCUCUGGUCUGUAACUGACGCUGAGGCUCGAAAGCGUAGGGAGCAAACAGG
rnacentral:rRNA from 1 species